GACUCAGUCCCCGCUCCUUCUGCCCACAGCUUCCUGACCAGCGUCCAGGAAGUGACAGGGACCCUGGGCCAGUCCUUGCCGUCCAUCGCAGCCAUCCUCAUCCUCAUGUUUACCUGCCUCUUCCUCUUCUCCGCGGUCCUCCGGGCACUGUUCCGCAAAUCUGACCCCAAGCGCUUCCAGAACAUCUUCACCACCAUCUUCACCCUCUUCACCUUGCUCACGCUGGAUGACUGGUCCCUCAUCUACAUGGACAGCCGUGCCCAGGAGGGCCGCCCGGAUCCAAGAGAAGCUGCUGGAAGACUCACUGACGGAGCUCAGAGCUGCAGAGCCCAAAGAGGUGGCGAGUGAAGGCACCAUGCUGAAGCAGCUCAUCGAGAAAAAGUUUGGGACCAUGACAGAGAAGUGAGGAGACAGGAAGGGAGCGAGGCCUGGGGUCUGAGGGCAGCAGGAGCUCCUGUUCCAUUACCUGCAGCUGGUGGCAAGCGUGGAGCAGGAGCAGCAGAAGUUCCGCUCCCAGGCAGCCGUCAUCGAUGAGAUUGUGGACACCACAUUUGAGGCUGGAGAAGAGGACUUCAGGAAUUGACCCCAGGAGGACACCAGAUACAGACUUCAGCCCCUGGCAGUCUGCCCACCUGGGUGCACUGGGACGGGUCCCCAGAUCUGCUGGAAUGAUUGUCCGGGCCCUGCAGAGUAGGGGCCCCAACAGAGUUUUUAAACCCC
rnacentral:sRNA from 1 species